UACGUAGGUGGCAAGCGUUGUCCGGAUUUACUGGGCGUAAAGCGCACGUAGGCGGCUUUCUAAGUCGGGGGUGAAAUCCUGGAGCUCAACUCCAGAACUGCCUUCGAUACUGGAGAGCUCGAGUCCGGGAGAGGUGAGUGGAACUGCGAGUGUAGAGGUGAAAUUCGUAGAUAUUCGCAAGAACACCAGUGGCGAAGGCGGCUCACUGGCCCGGUACUGACGCUGAGGUGCGAAAGCGUGGGGAGCAAACAGGG
rnacentral:rRNA from 1 species